UCUGCCUUCCACAUACCACUACCAGUGAGGAAUUAGGAAUGCAUGAGAAGAGUGUCCAAGAAGAGUGUCCUCAUUCAUGCAAGGCUUAAGAGAGAAUGCAGGUCAACAUCACCAUGUCAAUCAGAGGGAAUUAUUGCAGAGGGUACUAAAUAGCAAGAAGUCACCCAGCUAGUAAGUGGUGGAACCAGGAAUCGAGAGAGUCUGGGUUCUUUACCCCUCUGCUGAGCAGUUUGAUUAUAACAAACACAAAAACAAAAGUGCAGAUGCUGAGAGCACUUUCUAGUCAAGUCCUGCAUGUUCAUUUCUGUCUCAAGUCAGCUUCUCUGAGAAUCCAAUUUAUAAAAAUAUAUUUGUGAAUGUAUAAGUAAAGUGACUUGGAUUUUGUCUACGUACAAGGACUUCUAUGCCUGCAUAAAACAGCGUAGUUUGGAACCAGCAGCAGCAGCAGCUCCCCAGACCUACUGAAUCAGAAUCUACAUUUUGAUAAGAGCCCAGGGUGACUCCAUGUACGUGAAAAAGUUUGAGAAGUCCUUAGACCUACAGUUCACAGCUUCUCCUUCUUUCUUAUUCAACUGAAUUGCAGUGGGACCUGAGUAUGGUUAAAAUAAAUGAAUAAAAACACAAA
rnacentral:lncRNA from 1 species